ACGCUCGACACCUACGGGAGGUAGCAGUGGGGAAUAUUGCACAAUGGGGGAAACCCUGAUGCAGCGACGCCGCGUGGAGGAAGAAGGUCUUCGGAUUGUAAACUCCUGUUGUUGGGGAAAAAGAGGAUGGUACCCAACAAGGAAGUGACGGCUAACUACGUGCCAGCAGCCGUGACGUAUCNGNGGCGGNGNGAGAG
rnacentral:rRNA from 1 species